AAAUUGAAGAGUUUGAUCAUGGCUCAGAUUGAACGCUGGCGGCAGGCCUAACACAUGCAAGUCGAACGGUAACAGGAAGCAGCUUGCUGCUUUGCUGACGAGUGGCGGACGGGUGAGUAAUGUCUGGGAAACUGCCUGAUGGAGGGGGAUAACUACUGGAAACGGUGGCUAAUACCGCAUAACGUCGCAAGACCAAAGAGGGGGACCUUCGGGCCUCUUGCCAUCAGAUGUGCCCAGAUGGGAUUAGCUAGUUGGUGAGGUAACGGCUCACCAAGGCGACGAUCCCUAGCUGGUCUGAGAGGAUGACCAGCCACACUGGAACUGAGACACGGUCCAGACUCCUACGGGAGGCAGCAGUGGGGAAUAUU
rnacentral:rRNA from 1 species